CUUCGAUUCUUCAUAUAUUUGUCGGCGAAUCAACACCGAUUCGAUUUCAUAUCACAUUUUACGGUUUCUAUUACGGAAUGGCGUUUGAUUUUCCGUUGUCAGAUGUUGCAUUUUAGGUAAAGCAAUUUGGAUUGAAAUAGAGAGCUGAAGAAUUUCUAAACUGAAAAACGAAGAAAAUUUUAGUACGAAAUGAAGGAGGAGGACGGCAAACGUGGAACGGAGGUUUCAGGUUCUCGUCGGACGCGGUCUCGUAUAGCACCGGAUUGGACAGCGGCGAAUUGCCUCGUUCUUGUUAAUGUGAUUGCAGCUGUGGAGGCGGAUUGUUGGAAAGCUUUGUCUAGCUUUCAGAAAUGGAAAAUUGUUGCAGAGAACUGCACGUCUUUGGAUGUGGCUCGGAACUCGAAUCAGUGCAGGAGGAAGUGGGACUGUUUGCUGAUUGAACAUGAUGUUAUCAAGCAAUGGGAGUUAGAGAUGCCGGAUGAUGAUUCGUAUUGGUGUUUGGAAAGUGGAAGGAGAAAGGAAUUGGGACUUCCUGAUAACUUUGACGAGGAGCUGUUCAAAGCAAUCGAUAAUGUUGUAUUGAUGAGGGCGAAUCAGUCGGAUACGGAGCCUGAUAGCGAUCCUGAGGCUGCGGUUGAGAAGGUAGAUGAAGCUGCAGAGCCUGGCCCUAAAAGGCAAAGACGUUGUUCAAUGUCCACAAGAAACCAAGCUCUUGAGAAAUCUGUAAAAUGUGAAGAAGAAGAAGAAGAAGAAGAAGAAGAAGAAGAAGAAGAACCUCUGGUGAGCUCUCCGGAAGUAGAGCGUCGUGGAUGCUACAUCAAAAGCCACGGAGAAAAGGCAACCGAUAACACCGAACCCGAAGAGCAAACGAUGACGAAGAAAUUGCUUGAAACUGCAGAAAAAGUUCAAGCAAUUGUGUCUGAGAAUGCAAAAUAUGCAAUGUCCGGCGAAAAAAACGACAACGACAACUACAACAACCGAACUAAUUCCAUUAGGCGUCAAGGGAGCAAGCUUAUCAAAUGUCUUGAAGAUUUUCUCAACACCAUUAACGAUCUCCAUAGCCUGCCCGAAGAUCAAGAGUAACUCUCAUUUUGCAUUUCGCUGUUCUUUAAGCCACCGAGUGAACUCAUCGGAGCUUUGAAUCUUCCCAUCUCUCUUCCUACAGACAAAAUUCCAAGCUGACCAUUCGAGCAACAACAGCAAAAGGUUGCCGAUAUUUUCCAGGCCACCUCUGGGACAUUGUUUCACAACAGGAAAGAAGUAAGCUACGUCUAGAUGAAUGUCCUCUUUCACGACGAAGUAAGACUAAGUUUAUAAGUUUAUAAGUUUAUUAUCCUAGGUCGAAACAAGUUGAUAGGAUAGGAUUCUCUUUUUUAUGUUUUCAUGUCCCUCUCGUGUGGCGACAUGGGGCGAGAAAAAAAGGAAAGAGGGACAAAAUUUCUCUUUUUUAGUAUAAUGGGCUUCGGGUGGAAUACUCUUAUUAGAUACAAAAUUUAAAUAACACAAAAUUAAAGAAUUAAAAAAAAAAAAAAAAAACAAAGGUUUUGCUAAACUCUCAUGUUUUCUCUUCCUCUAACAAGAAGAAGUGUCAAAAAUAGUCAAAGGUCGAAAUAGAUGGAGGCAACGGUUACAGUUUGAAAGAAUCAAAUAAAACGAAAAUAACUAUAAAUAAGAACCAGAAAAUGAGAGAAGGGAGAGAGAGAAAGUGAUAUGAAGGUUGUUUGAAUCCUUGUUCUAGAGAGAGAAAAAGAAAAAGAAAAAGAAAAAGAAAAAGAAAAAG